UACGGGGGGGGGCAAGCGUUGUUCGGAAUUACUGGGCGUAAAGGGCUCGUAGGCGGCCAACUAAGUCGGACGUGAAAUCCCUCGGCUCAACCGGGGAACUGCGUCCGAUACUGGAUGGCUUGAAUCCGGGAGAGGGAUGCGGAAUUCCAGGUGUAGCGGUGAAAUGCGUAGAUAUUGGGAGGAACACCAGUGGCGAAGGCGGCUCACUGGACCGGUACUGACGCUGAUGCGCGAAAGCGUGGGGAGCAAACAGG
rnacentral:rRNA from 1 species